rnacentral:snRNA from 1 species
ACUCAUACCUUGCAGGGGAAAUAUCAUGUCAUAAAAGUGGUUUUCCCAGGGGGAGGCUUAUCCAUUGCACCUUGGGUGUGUUGCUGAUCCCUGUCAUUUCCCCAAAUGUGGGAAACUCAACUGCAUAAUUUGUGUUAAUGGGAGAUUACAUUUGUGAUUUCGCU